UACGUAGGCAGCAAGCUUUGUUCGGAUUUACUGGGCGUAAAGGGUGCGUAGGCGGCUUUUUAAGUUUGGUGUGAAAACUCGAGGCUCAACCUCGAGACGCCGAUGGAAACCAUCUGGCUAGAGUCCGGAAGAGGAGAGUGGAAUUCCUGGUGUAGCGGUGAAAUGCGCAGAUAUCAGGAAGAACACCCGUGGCUAAGGCGGCUCUCUAGUACGGUACUGACGCUGAGACGCGAAAGCGUGGGGAGCGAACAGG
rnacentral:rRNA from 1 species